rfam:Thiobacillus sp. SCN 63-374 ABS92_C0118, whole genome shotgun sequence.
UAGCUCAACUGGAUAGAGCACCAGCCUUCUAAGCUGGGGGUUACAGGUUCGAUUCCUGU